rnacentral:rRNA from 1 species
CGCGGCCUAUCAGCUUGUUGGUGGGGUAACGGCCCACCAAGGCGACGACGGGUAGCUGGUCUGAGAGGACGGCCAGCCACACUGGGACUGAGACACGGCCCAGACUCCUACGGGAGGCAGCAGUGGGGAAUCUUGCGCUAAUGCGCGAAAGCGUGACGCAGCGACGCCGCGUGGGGGAUGAAGGCCCUCGGGUUGUAAACCCCUUUCGCCAGGGACGAAGCGAAAGUGACGGUACCUGGAGAAGAAGUCCCGGCUAACUACGUGCCAGCAGCCGCGGUAACACGUAGGGGACGAGCGUUGUCCGGAUUCAUUGGGCGUAAAGAGCGCGUAGGCGGCUCGGAAAGUCGGUCGUGAAAUCCUGGGGCUCAACCCCGGAACUGCGUCCGAUACUUCCGAGCUGGAGGCAGGUAGGGGAGAUCGGAAUUCCUGGUGUAGCGGUGAAAUGCGCAGAUAUCAGGAGGAACACCGGUGGCGAAGGCGGAUCUCUGGGCCUUGCCUGACGCUGAGGCGCGAAAGCUAGGGGAGCGAACAGGAUUAGAUACCCUGGUAGUCCUAGCCGUAAACGUUGGGUGCUAGGUGUGGGCGGAUAUCGACCCCGUCCGUGCCGAAGCUAACGCAUUAAGCACCCCGCCUGGGGAGUACGG